AACUGGUGAGUAACACGUGGGAAACCUGCCCAGAAGCGGGGGAUAACACCUGGAAACAGAUGCUAAUACCGCAUAACAACUUGGACCGCAUGGUCCGAGUUUGAAAGAUGGCUUCGGCUAUCACUUCUGGAUGGUCCCGCGGCGUAUUAGCUAGAUGGUGAGGUAACGGCUCACCAUGGCAAUGAUACGUAGCCGACCUGAGAGGGUAAUCGGCCACAUUGGGACUGAGACACGGCCCAAACUCCUACGGGAGGCAGCAGUAGGGAAUCUUCCACAAUGGACGAAAGUCUGAUGGAGCAACGCCGCGUGAGUGAAGAAGGGUUUCGGCUCGUAAAACUCUGUUGUUAAAGAAGAACAUAUCUGAGAGUAACUGUUCAGGUAUUGACGGUAUUUAACCAGAAAGCCACGGCUAACUACGUGCCAGCAGCCGCGGUAAUACGUAGGUGGCAAGCGUUGUCCGGAUUUAUUGGGCGUAAAGCGAGCGCAGGCGGUUUUUUAAGUCUGAUGUGAAAGCCUUCGGCUCAACCGAAGAAGUGCAUCGGAAACUGGGAAACUUGAGUGCAGAAGAGGACAGUGGAACUCC
rnacentral:rRNA from 2 species